rnacentral:rRNA from 1 species
AUUGAACGCUGGCGGCAGGCCUAACACAUGCAAGUCGAACGAGUGGCGGACGGGUGAGUAAUGUCUGGGAAACUGCCUGAUGGAGGGGGAUAACUACUGGAAACGGUAGCUAAUACCGCAUACCAUCGGAUGUGCCCAGGUGGGAUUAGCUAGUGGGUGGGGUAACGGCUCACCUAGGCGACGAUCCCUAGCUGGUCUGAGAGGGUGACCACCCAAACUGGAACUGAGCCACGGUCCAGACCCCUACGGGAGGCAGCAGGGGGGAAUAUUGCCAAAUGGGCGCAAGCCGGAUGCAGCCAUGCCGCGGGUAUGAAGAAGGCCUUCGGGUUGUAAAGUACUUUCAGCGGGGAGGCGUUACCCGCAGAAGAAGCACCGGCUAACUCCGUGCCAGCAGCCGCGGUAAUUC